GCCUGGAUGGCUCAGUUGGUUGGGCAUCUGACUUUGGCUCAGGUCAUGAUCUCACCAUUUGUGGGUUCGAGCCCCGUGUCGGGCU
rnacentral:tRNA from 1 species